rnacentral:rRNA from 1 species
GACGAACGCUGGCGGCGUGCUUAACACAUGCAAGUCGAACGGGGAGUUAGCAAUAACUCCUAGUGGCGAACGGGUGAGUAACGCGUAGACAACCUGCCUCAAAGAUGGGGACAACACCGCGAAAGUGGUGCUAAUACCGAAUGAGCUCCCUGAACUGCAUAGGUUGGGGCGGAAAGGCGGCCUCUAUUUAUAAGCUGCCGCUUUGAGAUGGGUCUGCGUCUGAUUAGCUAGUUGGGGGGGUAACGGCCCACCAAGGCGACGAUCAGUAGCCGGUCUGAGAGGAUGAACGGCCACACUGGGACUGAGACACGGCCCAGACUCCUACGGGAGGCAGCAGUGGGGAAUCUUCCGCAAUGGACGAAAGUCUGACGGAGCAACGCCGCGUGAGUGACGAAGGCCUUCGGGUUGUAAAGCUCUGUCUUCGGGGACGAAUGGCACUUGGGUAAAUAAUCGAAGUGCAUGACGGUACCCGAGGAGGAAGCCACGGCUAACUACGUGCCAGCCGCCGCCGUAACAC